ensembl:lncRNA
GGGAAACAGAUCGGGGUCACGGACGAGUCCGAGAACCUGAGCACAAGAGAACUGCGGUGAGCAUAAACAGAGUAAUCACAGGACAAACGGGGUUUAUCGGGGAUGUACUGACGAGAGUAAGUCCACCACCCAGCAAAGAAGCCUUCUGAGCCUCAGCUUAAACAGCCCAGGAGUCCAGGUCAUCAGGUAGAUUCACGGCAGGUGCGUGGGCCAAGGGCGGAGCCCAGCUGAGCUCCGCCCAGGCAGACAGAUGCUUUGACAAGUCGUUUGCUGUCCCCAUGACUCAGGACCAACAACGUCGGUGCAGCACUGACCUGCAGCGUCUGUCUGAAGGCCUGAAACUCCUCCCACGCUGAUCACAGGAUGUGAUGUGUCAGAUGGGAGCGUGCCCGUGGGGAUCUGUGAUGUUCAAGGUCAGGACGUGUUUCAGCCUCUGCUGGCGUUGAUGUCACAGAAGAGUUAAAUCCUUCCUGUUUCAUCGUCCUCGUCUUCUGACAGCGAGCAGAGACGUGUCUGUGAUGGCGUUUGGUCGUGUCGACGUCUUGUUACGACGCGAGCGUUUCAUUUGAUGAACAGUCCUGAUGGACUGUGAUUGGUGAAACUGGAGACUUGCUCCUCC